AUUGAACGCUGGCGGCAGGCCUAACACAUGCAAGUCGAACGAGUGGCGGACGGGUGAGUAAUGUCUGGGAAACUGCCUGAUGGAGGGGGAUAACUACUGGAAACGGUAGCUAAUACCGCAUACCAUACGAGUGGCCGAGAUGGGAUUAGCUAGUCGGUGGGGUAAAGGCGCACCUAGGAGACGAUCCCUAGCUGGUAUGCGAGGAUGACCAGCCCCACUGGAACUGAUACACGGUCCAGACUCCGACGGGAGGCAGCAGUGGGGAAUAUUGCCCAAUGGGCGCAAGCCUGAUGCAGCCAUGCCGCGGGUAUGAAGAAGGCCUUCGGGUUUUAAAGUACUUUCAGCGGGGAGGCGUUACCCGCAGAAGAAGCACCGGCUAACUCCGUGCCAGCCGCCGCGGUAAUAC
rnacentral:rRNA from 1 species